UGGGGAAUAUUGGACAAUGGGCGAAAGCCUGAUCCAGCAAUGCCGCGUGAGUGAUGAAGGCCUUCGGGUUGUAAAGCUCUGUCGGGAGGGACGAAUAGGGUGGUGUAAUGGCCACUUCUGACGGUACCUCCAAAGGAAGCACCGGCUAACUCUGUGCCAGCAGCCGCGGUAAUACAGAGGGUGCAAGCGUUGUUCGGAUUUACUGGGCGUAAAGGGCGCGUAGGCGGCAAUUCAAGUCAUCUGUGAAAUCUCCGGGCUUAACUCGGAACGGUCAGAUGAUACUGCUUUGCUAGAGUGCAGAAGGGGCAAUCGGAAUUCUUGGUGUAGCGGUGAAAUGCGUAGAUAUCAAGAGGAACACCUGAGGUGAAGACGGGUUGCUGGGCUGACACUGACGCUGAGGCGCGAAAGCCAGGGGAGCAAACGGGAUUAGAUACCCAUGUAGUCCCUGAGCGGGCUGGCAAGGCGCAU
rnacentral:rRNA from 1 species